UAUGUAACACCUACAACAUUAAUUCAUCGGAUCCGAUUAGAUCUUUGCAUUUAAUCAUUCUUGGGCCUAAGUAAUACUCUUUUGGGUGUCCUCCUAGGAAUUCCUAGUGUUUUACAUGC
rnacentral:rRNA from 1 species